UGUGGAAAGUUGCCUUCACAGCUCGCUCACGACUUUGGUAUACGUUUGCGACCCCAAUGAUAUUCGGCAAACUUUCAGAUAAAACUACAAGGUUAAAUUCAUCCAUACAUUGUUUUUCGAUAGCAUGCUUCUGAACUGAGAUAAUAGCAAAUGAAUGUAAAUCUUUGCAAAUGAAUGGUUGCAACCUUGAGUGGAGGACGAUCUGCGGACCCUACGCAGAGUGCGGAACUGGAGACAAACUGCCAUGGACCGAGUGGAAUGGAGGAGGCUACUAUGUACAGCAGAGGCCACCCCGGCCUUAGCCUGAUUGGUAAGGUAAGUAUCAGAAGGUGACGGAUAAGAAGAACGUUGCCAAAAUCAGGAAGUAAACCCAUCAAGUAACAAGUACCUACUAAGAAUCGGGAAAUAUUCAGGAUAGUAUCAAAAAGUUUGUAAAAGAAGCCAAGAAAAUAUCAGAGAAGAAUUGUGUUCAUGUAAAUAGGAAAUAAAAACAACUGCUACAUCGAGAAGCAUUUGGAAAAGAUAAAGGUUCGACACCUAUGGCACACAAGACGAGUGUUUCCGUCAGAGUCUGCAGUUUUUAAACUAUUUUUCCUCAUUCCCCAAAACUCCCCAUUCCCUAAGUUCAAAAUAACCCAGCGUUACCGUCGGUCACCGUUCAGCAGUGCGGUCGCACCAUUCACCACAUCCUGAUAGCAACUCCCCACCACACCAUUCGACAAGGAACAGAACAAAACGGUUUUAUGUAUAAACAACUGUGCCGCCAUAUCGCGGCAGCAGAAGCUUGCGAGGUCUUAUCAAUAUUUUGCCUUACGCUACGCUUUUCCUCGGCGGUACGGUGUUUGCACAACUGGUUCAUAUUUAUAUUGAAGAGGAGUACAACAUAGAAUCGUUUAAGGAAAAGCCACUGCAUAGUCGAAUGCCGUCAUAAAUUUUAAACUGCAAGAGCACAACUGGUAUUUCCUAUUGGGAUUGUCUGAAGAAUUACGUACAGGUUCUGGGAAUCGGCUUGGAAGACUGACUUUGCUGAGAAGGCUUGAUUUAUAGCUAGUACCGUAAACCGGGGUCAAAUUGAUCUCCGGGUCGAAUAUGAUCAGACGAUUUUCUGUUAGAUAUAACAUUCUUCAAAUAGUUUCCAAGCAAAUAUCGUUUAGUAGCGGUUAACUGAACGAUAGUUGAAAGGAAAUUACUUAAAAUAUGCUAAACCUAACCGAAAAACGUGUGAUCAAUUUCGACCCGAAGAUCAAUUUGACCCCGGUUUACGGUACUCUAGUUAUAUUUUUGAAUGAAAUACAUUCAUUUUAUGCGAAUCUGCGUACAGCCCCUCGUCUCAAAAUGUUAAGGUCACCAUGGAGUGUGCGUUAUCAACACUUGGCGAAGGGCGAACAUAUGUACAUAUUUCGUUUUGGCGACAUGGUCGGCACGCUGCGUGAUAAUAUGGUUCGGUCAGUAGUGAUCGUACGCUUUAUUCGCAUUAAGUUUUCAGUCCAGUCGGUGAUAAGAAAUGUCACGCAAAAUUCUUGUUAUUCCAACAUAACUCCAUAAACAAGUUGGAAACUACGCUCUAUACGUCCAAGAUAAGUAGCUCUUUUUAUACAGUGGUGACCAAAUUUAGUUGAAAUCUUACAUCCGGACAUUUUGCCGAACCAACAUAAGAUAUUUGAAAGGUAGAAUUAGUACUUUGAGGAACUCCUAAAUAAUUGUGCAUUAUCUAGUACAAAAUUAUCUCACUCUACGACGCUCUUGUACUAAUUGAUCUGUAUGCUCCAUGUAUGAAACUUAUUGAAAAUGUAUGAUUUUGAUUUUUUUUUGUCAAUAUACUCAUAUUUUGCGCAAGUGCGAGUUUUACCAUUAAACCAGCACAGUGUUUCUUCAUUGGAUUCGCCAAAGUUACAUAAAGGUUCCUCAAGAAAUUUUCGGAAUAUUUCUUAUCUCUAAAAAAAUAUUCUGAGAUUCCCCCGGCCUAAUUUUUCAGUAAUUUCUUAAAAAAAUUCCACAAUAGAGUAACAUAUUUGAUAUUGCAUAAUUUUCUUCAGGAAUUAAAUCAGAUAUUUAACCAGGUUCCAAAUAAGAGUUCCACUGGUGAAUCUUUUGAAGAUUCAGCAAUUCCUAAUUUCCUCAUUUGGAGCUGUUUCAGUAAAUCACCAAGUGAUUACUACUCAAUGCUCUAAUAAAUCUAAAAGAUAUAUCUCCAAGAAUUUGUUUAAAAAAUCUUCUAAGAUCCUUCCUGUAUGCCUUUCAGCAUCGCUGGUAUGAGCUCUUUGGAAACCUUUUCCAAGUGUCGGCCAAGCCACCAACACCUCAGCAUGGUCCACCAAGGGUUCGAAGCAUUACCCUUACCGUGUCAACACCGAAGCUCCAUCAUUGCAGGAGAUAGAAACAACCAUCCGUAGCAUGAAUUCGAACAAGGCCCAGGAGGUCGAUCGCAUAUCAGCCGGGAUGCUCAAAGCUGACCCCGUAGUACCUGCACAAUUACUGCAUCAAUUAUUUCUGGUCGACUGGAUGCAAGGCAUGUUAGUAAAGGUGCCCAAAAAUGGUGACCUGACUGUAUGCGAUAAUUGGCGGGGUAUCAUAAUGCUGUGCAAUGUUCGCAAAGUCCUCUGCAAAGUGAUCCUUUACCGAAUACAGGAGAAGAUUGACGCAACUCUCCGGCGGCAGCAAGCAGGAUUCCGUGCUGGACGAUCCUGUGUGAACCAUAACACCUUGGAGCAAAUCAAUGAAUUCCAAGAGUCUCUCUACCUGGUGUUCAUUGAUUACGAAAAAGUUUUCGACCGUCUCAAUUACGAAAACAGUUGGGGAGCCCUUAGGCGCAAGAGUGUGCCUGAUAACAUCUCUGUUCGCAUUAUACCGGGCAUAUUCUUGGAUCUGUGGAUUGCCUAGAACCGAAUCGACGCUGUUACGGCGUGUCGGAUUUCAGAAACUUCGGCGGCUUUCUGCCGCCUAUUUAUUCACUUUUUGAUUUCUUCAUGGAAAUUUUGUAGUUUAUUGUUGCUCCCACCCCUACUUCUUUAAUGGCAAUUUAUGAUUUUGUUAUGGAAAAUGAUCACUUUUUUAUGAGUCGUUUACAUUUUAUUCCCCGAGGAGAUCCUGGUAGGUGCGAUUGAACGUGAAUCAAUUCGUGGGUAGCGUCGGCAGCCCAUUACCAUGGAACACCUAAAUGACUUCGAACUGGUUGAUGACGUUGCUCUCUUAUCUCAACGGCGCUCUGAUAUGCAGAGCAUGCUCGAUGAUCUUGCCGAUCUCUUCUCGGUGGCAGGACUCACCAUCAACGUCAACAGGACCACAUCGUUGGAUGUGAACACGGUCAGCCCUUCCAGUUUCACAGUAGUAUGUUUUAAGCUUCCAAUAUUUUGGUAGCCAAAUGGCGGUCGAUGGUAGCUAGGAUAGGAUGUGACACCUGCAACUUCUCUGUCUAAUUUCACAGCUUGCUGUCUUGUUUUUCCGCGUUGCUAAGAUUAUUGGUCCCCAAAUUGGUCUCUUUUGGGCUGACUAGUUGUCGUAUCCUAUCCUAGGAUGGUAGCACCAAGAUCGACAUAGGUGCACGGAUCAAGAAGGCGGGGGCUGCCUUUGCAAGUUUAAGAAAUGUAUGGAAAACUAUACAGAUUAGACGACGCACCAAAUCCGAAUUUUCAACUCGGACGUGCUGUACGCCAGUGAAACUUGGUGUGUAUCAGUGGAGAACACUCAACGGCUGCAAGUCUUCGCUGCAAGCGACAGAAAUUCGGGAACAAAAGUGGAAGUGGGUCGGCCACACUCUACGCAAAGGUGGGAACGAAAUCUGCAAGCAAGCGUAAGAUUGAAUCCCAGCAGAACAUCGCAGCAGAGACACACCUAGAGAUCCAUGGCGGCGCAGCCUUAACAAGGAAAUAAAGGAAGUCGACAGAAAGUUUACCUGGCCACACAGGUCAAGGCGAUGGCUGGCAAUCACGCAGGAUGGGGAUCUUUCAAUUCGGCCCUCUCCACCACCGUGGAGAUCGCUCAGGACUGAAAGUAGGUAAGUCGAAAUUAGCACAAGUGUGCUUUUAUCAUGAUGCAUGUACUCAGUACACAACGCGACCGCUCCCGUGUUAAAUACGAUUAGGCAUGCCAAUCUGACAAGCUUCAAAAUUCUAUCCAAUAAGGUCGCAUUUGCAUUACCAUUGACACACCUUAAACAAAACCCAUCAAGCAUGAAAUCACUCUUAACCAGCAUAAUCUCGACUCCCACUCCCACCCUCGACUAGUCGCAAUCCACCAAAGUGGAAAUAUCAAUUAUAAAUGGGGAAAAGGAAAUGAAAUUAAAAACAUUUCCCAAUCCUCAAUUAUUAUCAGCCGUCAUGAGUUUUCCGCACAUUUGCAUCUCUCGUUCGAGUUUUUAUCCCAUUUGUGGCAGCCAGAGCAAGCAAAUCUGAAUGAACCUCAGAGUUGGAUGGACGACCACAGAGCCGAGCCGAGUGGCAAAGACCAAAAUCUGCCGAUCCAGACCCAUUCGACUACCACCGAUGCCGCUCUGCACGUCUGUUCGGGUGAAUCUGUGCAACAUCCUCCAUCCGCCCAUUUGCCCAUCGCGUUCCGAAAAACAUUAAUUUCUAUGUUUAUGCGCGCACACAGAGCAGUGCAUGUCGGUCGGUUCUGCAUAGCAGAACACUCCAACGAUGGUUUCAGCUUAUGCUCUCUGGCUCCGAGCGGUUUCAAUUGGAAAACCACCGGAGCAAACGCACAUUCCAUUUUUAUUUUUAUUUUAUAUUUUGCUGCGUUCUUUCGGGUGAGGACUCCGCUCCGGCAGAUCUUCCAUAACCCUUACAGUCCCAGACGGCGUUUGAUGUUUCCACCAGUGCCCUUUAUCACCACCCGUGAACUGGAAGCGGUUUGAAAGGGAUAGUAAGCUGUUGUUGGGGUUCCCUCUUGAAAGCAGCAGCACAAUUUCCUCAAGUGGCGCUGCUAAUGGCUCAAGCUCCGAAAGUAUGCUUUUCUUUGUUGCAAAUGAGUCUGAUUUGCGACCGCGACGAGACGAUAUGAGACGACCCUGUGCAGCUAUAGAACAUCAGCGACGACAACGAUGAUGGUGACGACAAGCGGGCGUAUAAAGAGCGUAAGUACACACAUGUGUGUGCAGGAUACAAAGAGAGCAUUUAAAAUUAAAACGACUGAAUCUGCCGCCAACGACAACGUGCAGACAGCAGCUUCAGAGCGCAUCAUCCAGGGGUGUCUAAACGUAGGAUAAGCUUGAAUGGAACUUGCGAAAAAUUGUACUACCAUCUAUGAAACUUAAAGAAUUAAAACCAACUUACAUUAAAAAAA